rnacentral:tRNA from 1 species
CGGGACGUAGCGAAGCUUGUUAUCGCGUUCGCUUCGGGAGCGAAAGAUCGUGGGUUAAAAUCCCACCGUCCCGGCCA